rnacentral:misc_RNA from 1 species
ACGAGCAGGGCUUGCCUUGCUCGUUAGUGGCGGACGGCUGAGUAACGCGUGGGUGACCUGCCCCAAAGUGGGGAAUAACUGCCCGAAAGGGUGGCUAAUACCGCAUGCGGAGCCUGGUUCGUUCCAGUCUCCAAAGCCGCGAGGCGCUUCGGGACGGGCCUGCUUCCGAUUAGCUCGUUGGUGGGGUAACGGCUCACCAAGGCGACAAUCGGUAGGUGGUCUGACAGGACGAUCAUCCCGACUGGGACUGAGACACGGCCCAUACUCUUACUGGAGGCAGCAGUG